rnacentral:rRNA from 1 species
UGCGUAGGCGGUGCGGUAAGUCUGUUGUGAAAUCUCCGGGCUCAACUCGGAGCCUGCAACGGAAACUGCCGUGCUGGAGUAUGGGAGAGGUGAGUGGAAUUCCCGGUGUAGCGGUGAAAUGCGUAGAUAUCGGGAGGAAGACCUGUGGCGAAAGCGGCUCACUGGACCAUUACUGACGCUGAUGCACGAAAGCUAGGGGAGCAAACAGGAUUAGAUACCCUGGUAGUCCUAGCCCUAAACGAUGAUCGCUUGGUGUGACAGGUACCCAAUCCUGUUGUGCCGGAGCUAACGCGUUAAGCGAUCCGCCUGGAGAGUACGGUCGCAAGGCUGAA